rnacentral:rRNA from 1 species
AUUGAACGCUGGCGGCAGGCCUAACACAUGCAAGUCGAGCGGAUGGAGGGAGCUUGCUCCUGGAUUCAGCGGCGGACGGGUGAGUAAUGCCUAGGAAUCUGCCUGGUAGUGGGGGAUAACGUCCGGAAACGGGCGCUAAUACCGCAUACGUCCUGAGGGAGAAAGUGGGGGAUCUUCGGACCUCACGCUAUCAGAUGAGCCUAGGUCGGAUUAGCUAGUUGGUGGGGUAAAGGCCUACCAAGGCGACGAUCCGUAACUGGUCUGAGAGGAUGAUCAGUCACACUGGAACUGAGACACGGUCCAGACUCCUACGGGAGGCAGCAGUGGGGAAUAUUGGACAAUGGGCGAAAGCCUGAUCCAGCCAUGCCGCGUGUGUGAAGAAGGUCUUCGGAUUGUAAAGCACUUUAAGUUGGGAGGAAGGGCAGUAAGUUAAUACCUUGCUGUUCUGACGUUACCAACAGAAUAAGCACCGGCUAACUUCGUG